rfam:Apaloderma vittatum contig62662, whole genome shotgun sequence.
GGCCGGUUAGCUCAGUGGUUUGAGCGCGGUGCUGGCAACACAGACCAAAACCGAGGUCGCAGGUUUGAUUCCCGCUCGGCCC